rnacentral:rRNA from 1 species
UGCCAGCCGCCGCGGUAAUACGGAGGGUGCAAGCGUUAAUCGGAAUUACUGGGCGUAAAGCGCGCGUAGGCGGUUUUGUAAGUCGGAUGUGAAAGCCCAGGGCUCAACCCUGGAACUGCAUUCGAUACUGCAUGACUAGAGUAUGGUAGAGGGAAGUGGAAUUCCGGUGUAGCGGUGAAAUCCGUAGAUAUUCGGAGGAACACCAGUGGCGAAGGCGGCUUUCUGGACCGAUACUGACGCUGAGACGCGAAAGCGUGGGGAGCAAACAGGAUUAGAUA